UCAUCUGAAGCAAACCUUUGUAUAAAAAUAUGUUCAGACGAUGAGAUAUCACUGUAUAUAUUGUUGACAAAUAAUAAAUUAAUAAUCAGAAUUAAGGGUGGAAAUAUGUAGCAUUGCAACUGCCUAUUAUUUAGUGACCUGAACAUUUUCAGGUUGCACAAGUAGAGUUAAAUGGAGGGGUAUGCUUAAGUAAAUAUUUGCAUAUUAAUAUUUCCUUUUUGAGAGGUUUAGAGUCCCUUAUGUAGUGUUUGAUGAUAGUUGCGUUUUGCUGAAAUGUCAUAUACGUUGCAGACUUUUAGUUGAAUCCCCACUGGUUUAUUUUCAGUAAUCAGUGCAUAAAUAACAAAAGUUGCGUUUAUGUCUGAAUAUUUUGGUUCCUACAUUGAAUUAGGAACUAAGUUUGUAGUGCUAUUGCUUCAAUUUGAGUAUGUUAAACUAUCAUUAUUUCUGCCAGACCUGUACAAUUAGCAACAAAGCUGCCUUUUUCAGGUAUGGUGUUAAAAGAUUGAGAAAUCAGGUCUGAAAUUACUAUGCUGAAUCAGUUGUUUUGCCAGGUCCAGGUAAGUAUCUAUCCAAUGAUAUUUAAUAUCACACUUGAUAGUUCCAGAUUUUGGAAGAUCAACUGGGUGCAUAUGCCUCAUCAAUGUAUUCGAUUAGUAAACAUAUUUUUACAAGUACAGUAAUUGUUGAGGUAGUGAUUACGGAUGAUGUGCAUGAUCAUGCUAUUAAUUACCACUGUAAGAUUGUACAUAACAAAAGCCAAACAGUACUUUAUAUAUGUGAUAAUUUUCUGUUCCUAUCCUGCACUUAAAACACUUUCCACAAUUAUUGAUAACUCUGGUUAAACAUCGGCAGCCGCAGAUCUUGGGAUACUAUUGUUCUGGUGUAGAGAAAAAUAUUUAAGUUGUAUGAUGCCAAAGUUCCUGGCUAUCUGAUACAUUAUAGGCACACAAGCUGCUAUUAUUUGUUGAUUCAAUUUCAUUAUUAUUUUUUUCCUUUUGUAGAAAUUGGAGUUUAUAUGCAGCAGCCGAAUGAAUCAAAAUAA